UACGAAGGAUCCAAGCGUUGUCCGGAUUUACUGGGUUUAAAGGGAGCGUAGGCGGAUCUUUAAGUCAGUGGUGAAAGCUUACCCGCUUCAACUGGGAAAAACUGCCAUUGAACUGAAGAUCUCGAGUAUGGUUGAGGUUACUGGAAUGUUGCAUGUAGCGGUGAAAUGCUUAGAUAUGCAACAGAACACCAAUUGCGAAGGCAGGUAACUAAGCCAUAAACUGACGCUGAGGCUCGAAAGCGUGGGGAGCAAACAGG
rnacentral:rRNA from 1 species